ensembl:antisense
AGAAGGGGGAAUCACAAUGAAACAGGAAGGCUGUUCAAGAAGCUGGGGCCAGUGGGUGAGACUGAGAACCCAGCAACAGUAGCACAGCCAAAGCAAGCUGCUGGGAAGCCAGUCUUCUACUAGUUGUCUUCAGAUGAAGAUGCAGAACUCUCAAUUCCUCCUGUGCCUGCCUGGAUGCUGCCAUGUUCCCACCUUGAUGAUAACGGACUGAACCUCUGAACCUGUAAGCCGGCCCCAAUUAAAUGUUGUCCUUAUAAGAGUUGCCUUGGUCAUGGUGUCUGUUCACAGCAGUAAAACCCUAACUAAGACAGAGGCUUAUUGUAACUAUAAAGGUUGUGAGUAUGUCUUUCAUCCAGGAACUAAUAACCAAGGCAGGGUGGAAACCCUGGUCUGGGACUUAAAUAAUUAAUACAUAAUACCACCAGAGCCUAGUGAGAUUUCUAGAAAUGUUUCCCAGAGCGUUGUAAUUUUGAAAGGCACUCUGGGCCACCGUGAGAUCAGUUUAGGGAAUCAGCUACCUCAGAUAUCUAUCGGAAGCCCUUUGCGUGAGAACAUCCUCUCCACAGCCAGCAUGUUCCAGGAUGGACAGGAACGUGAAGCCCCAUGUGGCCAGCUUCUCAUCCUGCCUGCCUCAUUG